GAUGUUAGCUCAAGUGCCAAUCUUUAAAAAACAAAGAGCUUGAUCAGCUACAGGAGGAGUGACUGGAGGUUUCAGAGCAAGGUACUGCUUGAAGUUCUCCUAGAGCCACACAGUGGAAAUUGUCUGGCAGUUCUGCCUCGUAGCUAAGCUGACGAUGAAGGUGACAGCUGAGCACCUCCCCUGGAUGACCUGGAGCCCGAUCCGUUCCCGCAGAACCACGUAGGCGAGCAGAGCUGGCCGCUGUGCAGGCCCAUGGUUGGCUCAGGAGGGGGACAGAGUGUGCACACGCUGGGGCACCAGCAAAGAGUCAUCUGACUCCACUGUGGAAGAGAGAAUUCUGAACUCGAACUUGGCAAACAGAACGUUUAGACAGGGGCGAUUUUAAUCUUAGUGUAUACGUAAUUUUUGUGUCAUUCUGAAAAAUUAUGUAUGAAGUAUUUAAUCUCUUCAGUGUCUAGGCCUCUAAAGAGCCUAAUCUAGCCAUUGAUGGGCAGAUGGCAGUCUUCCAUAGUGAAAUUUGGAGGGAUCUGAAGCGUCUCUUACCUAAAAGUAUCUAAUAAAGACUUUCAUAUUCAGACAGUGCCUUCCAAAGUUCUCAGUGACAUGUAAGUGUAAAGAAGUGGAGAAUUUAUUUGCCAGCAUUCUCGUAUGUUUGUGUGUGUGGGGAAGGGUGUGGGCAGCUUCUGAUUCCCAAGAGAAUAAUAACUGGGCUGGGGAAGAAUUAUGUUUCCCAAGUGUAGGCCUGUGACAGGGCUACAUUCUUCACACCCUAGCUUCAGUAUUUAUUUCAUAUUUGUGCAGCAUCUUUUUGGUAC
rnacentral:lncRNA from 1 species